ensembl:lncRNA
CCCGUCUGAGCCGUGACAUCCACGCGUCCUCUUAAUCACGACCGCCUCAGAGUACCACGACCUGUCGUUCAUCCCUGCCGAGGAGCAGACCCUGUGCGGAGGAAGUGGAAGGAUGGUGAACGGGUCGCGUUUUUAUUUCGUGUAAUCUCGGGGAUUUGAUUUGCGGUUCGAAAAUACGAUGCGGUGUGUCGGAGGACGGCUCCUCGACGUCGAGGUCCCGGGAACCACGACGACAUCAAAUCCACUCCACAGCCCACAAGGCUCCGACAGCACCACGGCCAGUCUGGACAUGGAGUGAAACGUUCAAGCCGCAAUAACAGCGGGCGGGCGGCUAAUCCACUUUGCUUGGCAGACACGAUCCAAUGUAGAGACCGAUCUGCUUGUUCCGGGAAAGAGAAGCUCGUUCCAGUGCCUAAAAUCCUGCUCGCAAAUCACGGAGGCUGGAUUAUCAGGCGACAGAAAUGCAAAUCGUAUCAAAUCACACGCAUGAUUUCCCACCGGUUCUCCCCGAUGAUAAACUCAUUAGAUUUAAUAGCGUAUUAUGAGAAAGAAAGGCAUAAAAUCAAAUCACCUAUUUUUUUUUCUUCGUUUUUAUUACAUUUAGCCAUGGUAGACACUGAUCGUGUUUUCAAAGACGAUCGAGUUUUAGAUACCUAAUUUGGUUCUACUUGAUGUAUUUGAUGAGGAAACCCUUGUUCAGAGGUUCUACAUAGAAGCCCCUCAAGGAUAAAACAUGAGUUCUUUAGGUUUUUUUGUUGUCGUGCCUUUAGGUAUCGAUGAAGGAGGUGUGGCCUCUGUACCUUUUAAUACCGUGUAGGUGGCACGUGAAGUUCAGGUGAAGGAGGUGUGGCCUCUGAGACGGUCAGUUCCAAUGAAGGAGGCGUGGCCUCUGAUCCUGUCAGUUCCAAGGAAGGAGGCAUAGUUUCUGAUCCUGUCAAUUCCAAUGAAGGAGGCGUGGCCUCUGAUCCUGCCAGUUGUGGUGAAGGAGGCGUGGCCUCUGAUCCUGCCAGUUGCGGUGAAGGAGGCGUGGCCUCUGAUCCUGCCAGUUCCAGUAAAGGAGGCGUGGCCUCUGAUCUUGUCAAUUCCAAUGAAGGAGGCGUGGCCUCUGAUCCUGUUAAUUCCAAUGAAAGAGGUGUGGUCUCUGAUCCUGUCAGUUCUGGUGCAGGAGGCACGGCCUCUGAUCCUGUCAGUUCCGGUGAAGGCGGUGUGGCCGUUCUGUCUGUGGGUUGCCGUGUCAGUGAUUUUCCAGCCAAAUUGGGCUACUUCAAAAAUGCAGUCAUGGGUGAAAAUAAUAAGGUUGCAGGUUGAGGCUUUUUGAGCUACUUUCAAAAUAGCAUAGUGGUUAAAAUAGUGGUUGAUGUCCAUGCGUAUGUCCCGUAAGCGCACGUGCAAAUCAACGCCGACGAACCAUUUAAAAUCAUUUUAAAAGGACAGUAUAACAAGAAUUGGCAAACUGGAGAUGAGAAAAGGAGUGUGAGGGAAAGGGGGGGGGGGGGGAGAGUGAGUGAGAGGGAGGUAGAUAUGCAGAAGGUGAGGAGAAAAUAGCUGACUGGCUAGUAGCUUAAACAGCUAAUAACACAGGUAAAUGGGGAGAAUAUGGGAGAUGGUGCUGUAAAGACCGGGAGCAAGAAAAGUGCUGAUGAAAUGGAUAAAAAAAAAAAAAAAGUGUCCCAAAUGAGAAGGGAUGUGUUUUUUUGUUGCAAAUACUGCAGAUGAGAGCUCGCCACCAUGACCCAGC